rnacentral:rRNA from 1 species
GGCUACGAGGACGACGCUGGCGGUGUGCUUCACACAUGCAAGCCGAACGAGGUAGCAAUACCUAGUGGCGGACGGGUGAGUAACGCGUGGGAAUCUGCCUUUAGAUGGGGGAUAACGGGUCGGAAGACUCGCUAAAUACCGCAUAUGACGAAAGUUGAAAGGAGUAAUCCGUCUAAAGAUGAGCCCGCGUCCGAUUAGCUAGUUGGUAGAGUAAAAGCCUACCAAGGCGACGAUCGGUAGCUGGUCUGAGAGGAUGAUCAGCCACAAUGGGACUGAGACACGGCCCAUACUCCUACGGGAGGCAGCAGUGGGGAAUUUUACGCAAUGGGCGAAAGCCUGACGUAGCGACACCGCGUGAGCGAAGAAGCCCCUUGGGGUGUAAAGCUCUGUCAGCUGGAACGAAAAAAUGACGGUACCAGCAGAGGAAGCAUCGGCUAACUACGUG